UACGUAGGGUGCGAGCGUUAAUCGGAAUUACUGGGCGUAAAGCGUGCGCAGGCGGCGCGUUAAGACAGGUGUGAAAGCCCCGAGCUUAACUUGGGAAUUGCGCUUGUGACUGGCGUGCUGGAGUGUGGCAGAGGGAGGUGGAAUUCCACGUGUAGCAGUGAAAUGCGUAGAGAUGUGGAGGAACACCGGUGGCGAAGGCGGCUAUCUGGACCGACAUUGACGCUGAGGCGCGAAAGCGUGGGGAGCAAACAGG
rnacentral:rRNA from 1 species